rnacentral:rRNA from 1 species
GACGAACGCUGGCGGCGUGCUUAACACAUGCAAGUGGAGCGACGAACCGGGCUUCGGCCCGGGGCAAAGCCGCGAACGGGUGAGUAACACGUGGGUAACCUGCCCCGAUGACUGGGACAACCCGAGGAAACUCGGGCUAAUACCGGAUGUGCUCUCUUCACAUCAGUGAAGUGAGUAAAGGUAGCUUCGGCCUCCGCAUCGGGAUGGGCCCGCGGCCCAUUAGCUUGUUGGUGAGGUAACGGCUCACCAAGGCCGCGAUGGGUAGCUGGUCUGAGAGGACGAUCAGCCACACUGGGACUGAGACACGGCCCAGACUCCUACGGGAGGCAGCAGUGGGGAAUCUUGCGCAAUGCGCGAAAGCGUGACGCAGCAACGCCGCGUGGGGGAAGAAGGCCUUCGGGUUGUAAACCCCUUUCAGGAGGGACGAAGCUCCGGUCGUUAAUAGCGGUCCGGAGUGACGGUACCUCCAGAAGAAGCCCCGGCUAACUACGUGCCAGCAGCCGCAGUAAAAC